UGUUGUUGAGUUAGAUUUAGUGUUAGGUUAGGUUGCAAUUAUUCAUCCAAGAACAAGGACCAUCCUGCUGAAAAUGUAAGUCUUGCUUUCAUUCUUCCUUUCCUUUUCAUUUCUAAACCACCAUGUAAUACCCCUGCUAACUGGACAAAGAGGCACCUGUUUAAGGUGGUGAUCCUCUUUAUUGAGCAGGGGGAGAGUAACUGGCCCUCUUCACCCCCAGCACAGUAACUCCAGUGGCUGUUGCUGGUGUCUGUUUUAUGUUUCCUUUUUGAGUGUGAGCCCUUCAGGGACAGUGAGCCAUCUUAUUUAUUUACUUGUUAUUUUUCUACGUAAAACAUCAGGGAAACGACUGAUGAAAAGCGGUAUAUAAAUAUGUUUUGUUGUUGUUAUAUCAAGGCAGUGUGCACAAGAGUCAAUAAAAGCAAUCCAACCGAUUAUAAAAAUGUUAACGAUGGUUUAGAAAAACAUUGAUAUAAAUGUAUAUCAAUAUUUGUUAUUAUCUCAAGGCAGUAUGCACAACUGAAAGCAAUAAUAACAGUCAAUAACAGUAAUCCCACCAAUCAUAGCAUUUUAAAAAUGGAUUAGAAAAACCUUCUGUUAAUGGAUCUCCAGUGACUGUUGCUGGUGUCGAUCUUGUGUUUCAUUUUAAAUUGUGAGCCUUUGGAGACAGGGAUCCAACUGAUUUAUUUAUUUUUUAUUUCUUGAUGUAAACCACUUUGGAAACUUUUGCUGAAAAGUGGUAUAUAAAUAUUGGUUGUUGUUGUUAUUGUUGUAUCAAGGCAGUGUGCACAAGAGUCAAUAAAAACAAUCCAAUCAAUUAUAAGAAUUUUAAAGAUGGUUUAGAAAAACGUUGAUAUAAAUGUAUACAAAUAUUUGUUGUUGUUGUUGUUGUUGUUGUUGUUGUUAUCUCAAAGCAGUGUGCACAACUGAAAGCAAUAAUAACAGUCAAUCAAAGUAAUCCAACCAAUCCUAACAUUUUAAAAAUGGUUUAGAAAAACCUUCUGUUAAUGGAACUGUUUUGGGGGAUGGGCAAAACACCCCGAAAUGCGAUAAAGCUUGUUUGGCAGGGGAAUAAGUGGACUAGUGUGAAUCUGUCCCACCAUGUCAGAAUAAAUUGGUGCAAAGCUCUGGACCUGGGGAAAUGAACUGACAGAGAGUAGGCUGUGGUUCACAAAAGCAAUCGGUUUAUUGAAGGGUUUCAGGCUAGAGUGGGGAAAGAGUUGAUUUAUUAUUUAUUAUUAUUAUUAUUUAUUAGAAACCUUUAAUAUACCGCCCACUCCGAAGACUCUGGGUGGAGCACAAAAACAUGCAAAAUAAGGCAACAUUAAAAAUUACAUUCUAAAUUAAUAACUAAAGUAACUAACAAAACAAAAAAAAGGACAAUUACAGGGCAAAAGCCUGGCGAAAAAGAAAAGUCUUCAAUAGAGAUUUGAAGAUCAGUAAGGAAAGGGCUAGACGAACCUGAAGGGGAAGAGAGUCCCAAAGAAUUAAGGCGAUAUUAUGACUCAAAAACGUCACUGAGGUUAACCGGGGAACUUCCAAAGCGGAGGUUUGAGCCUGGUGUCUGAAUUGAAUGAACUCCAGACUGGCGAGAGGAAGAAGGCUUCAGAGCAACAGGUUUUUGGAUGGAGGAAAGAAUAGGGACAGGGAGAAGCCCAGAGGGGCACCGUGGUUAGUAGACCACCUCACUCCUUCUGGCUCUGAUGCAACCAGAGGACCUCUUUCCUCUGGACUGGAUGGGGAAUCGGGAGGCAGUGUUAGAGAAGCGAAUGCCAUUGGGGGGCUGAGCAGUGGGGGUAGAUCCCAAAGGGGCCUGGUUUCAGUGUAGCCAUCUUCUCGUAGCAGCGAGGCCUGCUGGGCCGAUCAGGCCAGUGAGGAAGGCUGAUCUGCAGGCUGAGAGCGGGAAUGAUGCCAUGAGUGAGGCAAAUGCUGAUUCCUCCUCCUUCCUGGGGAGGGGAAUUGCUCUGGGUCUCCAAAGCAUCCAUCGAGAACUUCUCGGGCAGGGCAGAAGGACCCGUAAACUGAUUAAUGCUUUUAAGGAGCGCAUCUCCUGAGUUCGUGGAGCUCUUUUGCUGGGGAGGGGAGUAGCAUUCUCACAGUGCCUUAUCUGCUGUCCUGCAGAGAUGAUUAGCCAGGGGCUAGCAAGGUUGGAGUGGGCCACAAAGAUUUUAAAAUGCCCCCCCCUCAUUGAAGCUCAGCUCAUGAAGUAAAGGAAUCUUAAAUGAGGCUGAAUAGCGGUAACAAAAAGAAUAUCUAUAUCUCCUAUGUGCCACAAUAGAACAUCAAUCUUAAUGAUUUUUUAAAAGGUUUUGUAAAUUGUGGACGAUGCAAGUCAUUUAAAGUACAAGAGAAAGUCCUGCUCUUCUGGUAGCUCCAGGUCUUAACACUCACAUCCGUUUCAGAGGAGGAAUACCACUGAAGGAAGCCCGGGCGGGUGGAUGGCUGGGGGAGUCAGUCAUGUGACUUGCCUCGGGGGGGGCAAGGCGGUGGGCCCCCAGACAACUGCCUCCCCUUGCCCUAUGAUAGUUACGCCCCUGUGAUCAACAUAGCUUGUUUGAGGCAACCUAGGAGGGGAGGAAACAGAGUCAGUCUCCGGACAGAGAGACUUUGAAAUUCCGUCAGAAGUGAACUCGGGUCUCCUUAGGCAUUUCCAGUAGAGGGAAAGGCACGAGGCUAAUCCCAUUUCAGUUCGCUUCACAGCUGGUGAACCUGGGGCGAUUGUCCCACUGCCUGCUAACUGACCUGUCCCCAUAGAACGGAAAGCAAGGAGCCCACGAUCAUGGGAAGCUCUGAGCAUAUCAAGAAUGGGAACUACAAGCCUGUUCCAAUUUGCUUUAUCUGCAUCCAAAUCUAGGGGCGACAAGCCCGUUGCCAACUCAGGGAUCUGUUCCCCCUGUGUACUAUGAACUGAGAGCUCCUGUCGCUGUGAGGCUCCUGAGCAUAUCCAAAGUGCCAUCUCCAAGCCUGGAGAUGAAUCGGCAAUCAGGGAGCCAGGCCAUCUCAGCGUAGCUGCUAACAUUGCUAACUUGGUAGCUGGUAACCUAGCUGGUAGCUGGUAACCUUGCUAGCGGGUAACCCCUGCUAACUGGGCAAAGAGGCACCUUUUAAUGUGGUGAUUCUAUUUAUUUAGCAGGGGGAGGGUGACUGGCCCUCUCCACCCCCAGCACAACGUCCCUCCAGUGGCUGUUGCUGGCGUCUGUCUUAUGUUUCCUUUUUAGACUGUGAGACCUUUGGGGACAGGGAGCCAUCUUAUUUGUUUGUUAUUUCUGUGUGUAAACUGCCCUGAGCCAUUUUUGGAAGGGCGGUAUAAAAAUCGAAUAAAAUAAAUUAAUUAAAUAAAAUAAACUCUCCCUGGCUGCUCUGCAGGGGCUCCCCGCCCCCCGGGCUCCCUCUCUGCCCCCAAGUUUUCUGCCCAAGGGCCUCGUUCUCACUGUCUCCCUCUUUUCUUCCAGGCUGGGCAGGAUCAGAGCAUUCCUGUCCAGAAGGUCCAGCAGGGUGGCCCCCCUGGACUCACCAGGGCAGCCCUCCGCCUCUGGUCCAUCUGCCGCCAGGUGGUGGUGCAUCUGCGGGGGGAGGAACCGGGUGGCCCCUGCUGCCCCCCUCACUGCCGCCCCUGCUGCCCCCCUCGCUGCUGCCCCUGCUGCCCCCCUUGCUGCCGCCCCGGUGGCACCCCUCGCUGCUGCCCCUGCUGCCCCCCUCACUGCCGCCCUGGAUGCUCCCCUCACUGCCGCCCCGGAUGCCCCCCUUGCUGCCACCCCGGAUGCCCCCCUCGCUGCUGCCCCGAUGCCCCCCUUGCUGCUGCCCCAGAUGCCCCCCUCGCUGAUGGCCCUGGCUGUCCCUGCUGGCCCCCUCGCUACCGCCCCACUGCCUCCCUCGCUGCAGCCAUCUGGGGAGUGCAGCCAGCCUGGGCCGUCCGAGCUGUGUGGGCAGGAUGCUGGAGCUUUCACCACCUACUCCAUCAUCACUGCCCGGCUGCAGACGGUCCAGCGGUCCAGGACUCUUAAGGAAGGUGGAGGGAAGGAGAGGAGGGCUCGGAUAGAGUUCCUGGCCGCCAUCGUCCAGGCGUGUCAGGAAGCCACCUGGAGAGGGGACUGACGCCUGCCCUUCUCCAAGCCCUCAGCUGCCCAGGCUGUGCUGGAGGAGAUGGACAACAUCUGGGAUGACCCCGUGCCCCACCACCUCUUCUCGCUCUUUAUGGAGGCCAUCAACUCCUUGAGUCGGAUGAAGCCGGGCUUCGGACCGAAAACUGUCAGGACAUUGAUAAUGGACUCCCUGUCUGUGAUCAGUCGUAUGGUCGGAGAGGAGCUCGAGGAAGACAAGGACAUAUGUAUUGAUGGUGCCCCCACAGCCCCCCACCUAGGAAAAGACUCUGCCGGGACAGUGCUCCUUGGUGGGGGGGGGCUGCAUCUCCCGUCCCCAUGGAAGCAGAGCCCGUUUCGGCCCCCGGAGAAGGCCCUCUAAAAGAUGCUCAGAGGCCUCCUGCAGGAAAAACCAACCCUCGCCCAGCUGAUCCUGAUGGCUGAUGCCAUCGACGUGGAGAUCUAUAGCACUAAUGUGAGGGAGGCGGCGGUGGCGGAUAGGACCGGCCUCUUCCUCCUCAACCUGGCCAUCGGGGCCCCCUUCUACUUUGAAGCGGAGCAAAUUAAACCGAUGCUCCCACUAGCCAUACGCCAAGUGGGGAGGACGACGGGCCGGGCCAAGGGUGAGGGCAGUCACUCAUCGAGUGAAGACGACCUGGGAUGAAUAAGAACUGCUGAUGUGUCCCAAUUCAGCAGCCCUUUUCGAGAACGAAUGAGAAAUUGCAUCAGACUCCAGGAAGAGCAAGCAAAACCAAAACAAAAAUUAAACAAAAUUUAGCCACUGAGUUGAUGUACAUAUAAAUAAGAGUUGACAAUAAAAAAUUACA